rnacentral:rRNA from 1 species
UGGGGAAUUUUGGUCAAUGGGCGCAAGCCUGAACCAGCAACGCCGCGUGGGUGAUGAAGGCCUUCGGGUUGUAAAGCCCUGUCGGGAGGGACGAAUGAACGGCUUAACAAACCGGAAUGACGGUACCUCCAAAGGAAGCACCGGCUAACUCUGUGCCAGCAGCCGCGGUAAUACAGAGGGUGCAAGCGUUGUUCGGAAUUACUGGGCGUAAAGCGCGUGUAGGCGGUCUACCAAGUCUGAUGUGAAAGCCCUGGGCUCAACCCAGGAAGUGCGUCAGAUACUGGUGGACUGGAGUGGCGGAGAGGAUGGCGGAAUACCCGGUGUAGAGGUGAAAUUCGUAGAUAUCGGGUGGAACACCUGUGGCGAAGGCGGCCAUCUGGACGUCAACUGACGCUGAGACGCGAAAGCAUGGGGAGCAAACAGGAUUAGAUACCCCCGUAGUCC